GACGAACGCUGGCGGCGUGCUUAACACAUGCAAGUCGAACGGCAAGGCACUGCUUUUGUGGGGUGAUCGAGUGGCGAACGGGUGAGUAACACGUGAGUAACCUGCCCUUGACUUUGGGAUAACUUCAGGAAACUGGGGCUAAUACCGGAUAGGAGCUCCUGCUGCAUGGUGGGGGUUGGAAAGUUUCGGCGGUUGGGGAUGGACUCGCGGCUUAUCAGCUUGUUGGUUGGGUAGUGGCUUACCAAGGCAUUGACGGGUAGCCGGCCUGUGAGGGUGACCGGCCACAUUGGUACUGAGAUACGGCCCAGACUCCUACGUGAGGCAGCAGUGGGGAAUAUUGCACAAUGGGCGGAAGCCUGAGACAGAGACGUCGCGUGCGGAAUGACGGCCUUCGGGUUAUAAACCGCUUUCGCCUGUGACGAAGCGUUAGUGACGGUAAUGGGUAAAGAAGCACCGGCUAACUACGUG
rnacentral:rRNA from 1 species